UGUGUGUGUGUGAGAGAGAGAGAGGUCAGUGUGUGAGAGAGAGAGUGAGGUCAGUGUGUGAGAGAGAGGGUGAGGUCAGUGUGUGUGUGUGAGAGAGAGGGUGAGGUCAGUGUGUGUGUGUGAGAGAGAGAGAGAGAGAGAGGUCAGUGUGUGUGUGUGAGAGAGAGAGAGAGGUCAGUGUGUGUGUGAGAGAGAGAGAGGGGUCAGUGUGUGUGUGUGAGAGAGAGAGAGGGUCAGUGUGUGUGUGUGAGAGAGAGAGAGAGGUCAGUGUGUGUGUGAGAGAGAGAGAGGGGUCAGUGUGUGAGAGAGAGAGAGGUCAGUGUGUGAGAGAGAGAGGUGUGCUUUGAGGG
ensembl:lncRNA